rnacentral:lncRNA from 1 species
UUUUUUUUCCUUUUUUGUUCGUAAUACCUCUGAAAACAACGAAAAGGCCAAAAAAUGUGGAAAAUUGCAAAAUUUGUUAGACUAUUAUGUGGGAUAAAUCUAGAGCUUUAUUAGCACCUACAUCAUUAAAAACUUCCAUCUCAAAUAAGUAAAAGAAUACAAGACAUGCUAUAGAAUUACAAAAGGAUAAAAAAAAUACAAAGAUUGAGAAUGGACGUCUGGCUCUCGGCCUCCAUGGAGGCCUUUUUUUGAAAAUAAAUCAAAAUUCAAACUAUUUGGUUUAAUUUUUUUUGAAAAAGUAUGCAAGUAAACAAGAAUGUUAUGUGUAUGUGGGUAAAAUUUCAGGAUGAAAAACGUUGAAAUGCGACCUGUACAAAAAUGACAAAUUCAUGGCCCGGGAGGAUGAAUAGUAUCAUGUGUUAAAAAGCCCUAGAUUUGUCAUUUUUGCACAGGCCUCAUUUCAACGUAUUUUGUCCUGAAAAUUUACACACAUAUGUGUUAUGCCUUCAUGUAUAUCUGUGUUUUUUUAGAAUUUUUUAAAAUGCAGAAAAUAUGAAAUUUGAUGAAAUUCAAAUUUUCCAAAACCGAGCUCCAUGGAGCUCGGCCUCCAAAGACAAUAUUCAACAAAGACUACACUAUAUAACACUACUAAUACUCAGAUCCAAGCACUAAAAUACGCAUGCACGGCAAAAAAUUUGAACAUAUUAGAGUAUUAUAGAUAUUUAUAUAGGACAUAUAUUUAUAUAUUUCAAAAAAAUAAACGGGCCGUGCCGUGCCGGCCCGCGUGCCCAGCCUCCAGGCCCAGGCACGGCCCAUGGCGUGCCGCAUGCCGGGCCUGGCCCGUUUAGCCUGGGUCGUGCCGUGCCAGCGUGCUACCGGGCCGGCACAGUUAGCACGGCCCGUUUGGCCGUGGCAUUUGUCCCAGACUUCGUGCGUUGUGCGUUGGAGUUGGCCCUAGUCUCCGGUUUCCGUUUCCGGUUCCACCCCGAGUUCCGCCUCCGGUCUCUCCUCCGCCGGCGCAGGAUGGCGGCGGCCGCGGGCACAUCGAGGCAGGCGGGCGCGGCGCCCAGGGUGGGGCUGCUGUACGACCAGCGGAUGCUGAAGCACGCGCCUGCCGGGAAGAAAGAACGGGAGACCCCCGAGCGGCUACGCGCCAUCUGGCGCAAGCUCGCCGCCGAGGGCGUCACGUCCAGGUACGCGCCGCCAGCGACUCUCUCAAGCGAGAGCAGCGCCANNNNNNNNNNNNNNNNNNNNNNNNNNNNNNNNNNNNNNNNNNNNNNNNNNNNNNNNNNNNNNNNNNNNNNNNNNNNNNNNNNNNNNNNNNNNNNNNNNNNNNNNNNNNNNNNNNNNNNNNNNNNNNNNNNNNNNNNNNNNNNNNNNNNNNNNNNNNNNNNNNNNNNNNNNNNNNNNNNNNNNNNNNNNNNNNNNNNNNNNNNNNNNNNNNNNNNNNNNNNNNNNNNNNNNNNNNNNNNNNNNNNNNNNNNNNNNNNNNNNNNNNNNNNNNNNNNNNNNNNNNNNNNNNNNNNNNNNNNNNNNNNNNNNNNNNNNNNNNNNNNNNNNNNNNNNNNNNNNNNNNNNNNNNNNNAUGGGAAGUCCUCGCGCGCUCCCGCUGUGCUUGAUCUGUUUCCUGUUACGACUGUAAAUCUGCACGAUUAUGUUUUGGUUAUCUGAUGAAGCGCCCGAAAUGGUGAAGGGCCUGAGAAAGGGGGGAGAGUAUAUAGAUCCUUCAUACAAUAGGUUCAAACAUGUAUGCCAUGUAGCGCUGAAAGGAACAGUCCUGCUAUUUCUGCAAUUUGGGGCACUCCAGUCCUUCCUCGUGUGCAGUAACUUGGACUGUCCAUUGCUUGCAUUACUUUGAUUGAUUAGAUUGAUAAUUGUAUGACUUUUGCAAGGUUCUGUGGCUUUAGUGUGACAUAAGUUUCUUCAGAUAAUAGGUUCAAACAUGUAUGCACAGUAGCGCUGAAAAGGUAUAGAGUCCUGGUAUUUCUGCAGUUCUGGGUACUCAAGCCGUUGCCUGUGCACAGUAACCUGGAUGCUACUAGAGUUAAGUUUGAACAUUGGCAUUAUGGCUUCUGUGCUGCCCACUGUUUGCAUUAUAGGUUCAAACAUUUAUGCACUGCAUAUCUGAAAGGAACAGCGUCCUUCUGGUAUUUCUGCAAUUUGGGGCACUCCAGCCCUUCCUUGUGGUACAGUAUCUCGGAUCCCUGCAGGCGUCGAUUUAAAGAGGAACUGCAGUGGCUCAGGCUCACCUACAGGGCCAAAAGGAAGGAGUAUAGUGGCCUGAUUGAUUGGGUCAAAGCUUUCAGAUGAACUUAGUUCUGCCUUCAUUGUACCUUUUGUAUUUUCUGUUCCUUGUUUGUUUUCACUAGGCCUGUGUAGCUCUUUUAUUUUAUUUCUGAACUUUGUUUUGUACUCCCUCCAUCCCACAAUAUAAGAUCGUUUUUCAAGCUGGACAAGGGAGUAACAUUUAUUUGAAAAACAAUAAAAAUACACAGCAGAGUCCUGCUGUUUCCUUAAGAAAAGGUAACUUGUAUGCCACUAGAGUGAAGUUUGAACAUCGGCAUUGUAGCUUCUGUGCCGUCCAUUGCUUGCAUUACUUUGAUUGAUUAGAUUCAUAAUUGUAUGACUUUGCAAGGUUCUGUGGCUGUAGUGUAACAUAAGUUUCUUGCAGGUGUGUGGGCAUGAGGGCGAAGGAAGCCAAGGAAAAAUAUAUAGCCUCUGUCCAUGGCCCGAAUCACAUAGAUCUGAUAAGGAAUAUCAGCUCGAAGGAUAGUUCCGAGCGAAAAAAUACUGCUGAGAAACUCGAUUCCAUUUACUUCAACAAAGGCUCCUCAGAGUCUGCUUUCCUCGCAGCCGGUUCUGUCAUCGAGGUAAUUUCCGUUUACUUUUCCUACAUUGCAUAUGUAUUCACUAGUCUUAUACAGCAAUUCUGGUUCCGUUGAUCCUGAGUGCUGACAAAAUGACUCGUUUGGCAAGUAGGUUGCUGAGAAGGUUGCAGCUGGUGAGCUGAGUUCUGCGAUCGCUCUAGUCAGGCCUCCAGGCCACCAUGCCGAACAUAGCAAGCCCAUGGGAUUUUGCCUCUUCAACAAUGUGGCAAUUGCAGCUAACUACCUCUUAAAUGAAAGGGUGCGUAUUUGAAACUUCCCUGUUGAAUGUUCUGUUAAGAUCAAUACGUGCUGUUUUUGUUUAUCAUUUCCUCUGUAGGAACAAUCAUAUCAAUUUGCUAUGAUGUGACCUACUGAGAACAUGGAGUCAUUUUCUGAGUUCCCUUUUUCUGUUGCAGCCUGACCUAGGUAUCAGCAAGAUAUUAAUCGUCGAUUGGGAUGUUCAUCAUGGAAAUGGCACGCAGAACAUGUUUUAUAAUGACCCUCGUGUAUUGUUCUUUUCAGUGCACAGGUAUGACACAAUAACUUGGCGUUGCUUUGCUAUUUUUGUUUAGACUUCAGACUUUGCUUCCGCAAACAUGCAAACCACUGUAUGUAUACGCAUUAGAUAUAAAGAAAACAUGCAAACCACUGUAUGUAUACGCAUUAGAUAUAAAGAAGAAGUCUUAGUUGAGACUUUAGACUAGCUUCAUAACCUUCAUGAUAUGAUAUUCGUGAAGCCGUGGUAGUUUUGUUGCCUACAUUUUUAUGGCUUACUGCUUUUUGAAUGGAUGUAGGAUGCUGAGAGCGUUUUCUUACAGUGGAUCUCUGCAGUUCAUAGAAAUUUAGAAACUCCAUUUCUUAUUUACAUGGUAUUAACAAACUCAUUUUUGAUAUUUGUGAGCUCACCUUACUAUAAUGCUCUUGGAUAUUGUACCUGUAAUGAUCGGGAUUAAGUCUCAGUUUUGUUGAUCCAGUUGGGCUGUAUAGCACGACCUAAAUGCUUGAGCCCAGUUUGUGAUUAAUGUGCCAUGGAACCUAUUAACUAUUAAUCCGUUGUCAAUGGAAGAACCUAUUAACUAUUAAUCCUUUUUCUGUUUCAUCAUGGUUUUACCAUUUUACUUCCUAUGUUGACACUACUAGUAUUGAAAUAGCCUGAAUUAUCUGUUCUAAACUUCUAAUCAACAUAGUAUGGUUACUUUAUUUGUCAUUUGAAUUGUCACCUGCCCACCCUUGAUUUUGGUUAUAGUAUAUUAAUCAAUUCAUUGUGUUUACUUUCUAUUGCUAUCUGAGUUUAGUCUCCCAUGCAUCUGCAGGGCUAGAUACUACGGUUCAUGUUUACAUUAGAAAGAGAUGUUUGUAAUGCAACUUCAGUGCUUAUGUUUGAAAACUGAGUUGUACUUGUUAUACAACUCUUGCUCUAAUAUGUUUGAUUUAUCUGCACUGCUAUAGUCUGGAGCAUCCAAAAUACAUGAUGUUGAUAUUUAUUCUUUCUUUCUCCGAUAUAUGUGAAAAGUUCUAGCCUCCCAGAUCCAACGCCGAAACUUCUUCUAACAUUGUUCUAGCUAGUGUCAAAAAACGUCUUACAUUAUGGGACGGAGGGAGUAGUAGGUAGGUACCUGAGGAAAGCUGCUGUUCUAACCGCUUAUCAUUUAAGUUUACAUACAUGUUACCUUGGCUGAUGAAUCUACAGAUUGUGUAACUUGCCAUCUUUGGUAAAGGCCUCUCCUAGAACUACCCAACCAAUUCUGAUCGAAAUCUCAAUUUUUUGCAGUUGUUCCAUUGCAUUCUGUUGAUCCUUCAGUAAUGUGUAAACUAUUAUUCCAAUGUUUGCUCUGUAGAUAUGAUGAUGGAAGCUUCUACCCUUAUGAAGCUGAUGCAUCACACGUUUUCAUUGGGGAUGAAACUGGUCGAGGGUACAACAUUAAUGUGCCCUGGGAGCAUGCGGAAUGCGGUGAUGCAGAUUAUGUUGCUGCAUGGGACCAUGUACUCCUUCCUGUUGCAGAAGCAUUUGAUCCUGAUAUAAUAUUACUGUCUGCUGGGUUUGACGCAGGUAGACAGCUAGAAAAUUCUUAGAAACUAUCUUGUCCCUAAAAUUUAAACAUCUAACUAAUCUAGGCACUUCAAAUGAAGCCUGACUGUUGCUAUAUACCGGCAUUGUAGUUUAUUCUAUGUACUAGAUGUGCACUGUUCGAGUACUACUCCUUAUAUACCUGAUUUCCUUUUUGCGUGACAAAUGAGAUCUUCACUGAAGAUAUUUUGACAACCGCUGUGGCUUUGUUGUAUUAUAUUGCUAUUACAUGCCAAUGGAAUCAAAACUUCUGUGUCUCAUAUGAUCAUGCAUGUUCUUGUUACUCACUGGUUUUGAAUAUUUUCCCUGUUUCUUUUUUGCUAGCACUGGGUGAUGAUAUGGGUAAUUGCUGCAUCACUCCAAAUGGAUAUGCACUGCUACUGACAAAGGUAUGCAUUUGCACGUUUGCAGCAAAAUGACCUUUUAUUAAACUCACUGAACCAUGCGCUCUCCUGGCCUUAAAAACAUUUUUCAUUCUUGACCUUGGAGUUUGGAUGUGAUAGAGUAGCGUUUAUGUUAUUGCCACGGUCAUUCAUUUUUGUUGUCAUGCUUUGGUGUUACCUGUUAGAAAAUUUUCAUUUGAUCCCAUCAAUUUAUUAGUAUCUCCUAUAACUUUUUUGGACUUUCUACUCAGCUGAUCGAUGCUUAUGCCUGUCUACAUUUUACCUGCAGCUGUUAGGUUUUGCAAAAGGAAGGAUUGUGAUGGCCCUUGAAGGAGGUUAUAACCCUGAGUCCAUAGCAAACUCAGUUUGUGCUUGUGCAAAAGUAUUGUUGGGAGAUAAAUUCACACUUACCUCUCCAGAGAUGCAACCAUUCGAAUCUACAUGGAGAGUCAUACAAAUGGUAAUGGUCUGCAGUGUACUAUUUCUGUCUAAUUUUGGUCUCGCUAUGCGUAUCUGUAAUUUAGUUCUCAUUCCCCCUCACACUGACCAGGUACGCGAUGAAUUAAAGACAUACUGGCCUGUUUUGAGCAGUAAGCUUCCGGAGAACGUAUCUUUGAGGAGUACGCCCUCAUAUAUCCAGGUGAGUUUCCUCUUUCUAUUUUCUUCUUCUUGGGGACUUGAGUUGGGGCCUGCUUGGUCUGACCUCUGACUAAUGAAUUGUGCUCUUAUGUCUGAGAUGUGGAUCGCUCUGUUCCAGAUCCGUUUGCUGGGAAACUUGACACCAUCUUCUCUUACUUUUCACCAACAUGUCAUGACCACAGUUGCAGCUUUCAAACCACAUUCUUAAUGGACGAUUUUCUUUUUUUUCCAGGGUUAUAAUGAAGCACCAUAAUGUAGCCCAAUUUCAUAGAUGAAUGCAUGUUCACGAGUGAUGUGGACUGUAUUACACAGCUCAGUUGAUAUGCUAUUUCCAUAUUAUCCGCACUUCCGCAGGCAAUCCAUACUUGAUGAACCUUUUUUUGUUGUUGUGAUCAAUGCUUCAUGUGUAUACUUAUUCUGAGGUGCCUAUCAACUUUUAAACUCUUAACUCUUGCAAAAGAACAUGCAGAGUUAUACAGCUCAACUAUGUUUGUACUGUGCACUUUAAUUAUCUUGUGCCAAUAGUCUCACAUUUGAUUUACUCCCUCCGUCCCAAAAUAAGUGUCUCAACUUUAGUACAACUUUGUACUAAAGCUAGUACAAAGUUGAGACACUUAUUUUGGGAUGGAGGGAGUACCAUUUAUGCAUCUUGAUGCAUGCAGGCUUACUGUAUAGCUGAGACGAUCAAUAGGAAAUAUUAACCUGAUGGUGGAGCCCUUGAAUAAUUUCUCUUUCUUGUUUUCCCCAUUGGGGAAUGAACAGCCAUGCACUUCCUCUGGUUCUGAGUGAUGUUUUGAGUAUGAUAUGCUUGGAGAUCCGCAUUGUCAAAAGUUCAAUAUUUGGUAUGCCAGCUUUGGUUCAAACAUGUGGAAACCAAGAUUCUUGUGCUACAUCGAAGGGGGUAAGGUAAAGUUGAAAUCACAUUGUCUUUUAUAUAUGGCAAGGAACAUUUAGGUUCCUCUAUUUAAAGCUUGUAGCCUGUCGCUGCAUUCAUCACAUCAUUGAUUUCUCGGGGAGAUUUCAGUCGGUGCACCCCUUUCAGUUAAUGUAACUCAAAUCACUUAUGGAGGGUACUUUUGUACCUUCCGCACAAAUCGGGAAUAAAUAUCUGUCCACUUCAUGCAUUAGUCUGUUACGCACCGGUGUAUCAAUUCAAUUGGGGAAGCUACUGCCCGGAACAAUAGCAGCUCACGCUUGCUCCACGAUGUUUGAACAAACCUUAUCUAGUCCAUGGCUCUUCAUGCCUUCCUCGCUGCUCCUCUUAGUUUGUUUGAUCUGGCACUAUGAAUCACAGACGUCGACCUGGGGAUCGGUGUCUAUGAGUGCAAAGCUUCACGAACAUUCGCUAGCAAUGACCAAAGAGAUUGAGGGCCUAUUUGAUUCGCAGGAUUUUCAAAACAAGGGAAUAGGAAAACACAGGAUUGUAAUGUCAUGUUCAUCUCAAUCCUACAGGAUUUUGGGUUGUUUGAUUGCAUCAUAGGAAAGACAAAUUAUUCUUUCAAAGAGGUUUGAGUGGAUGGUAUAAAUCCUAUGGGAAGUAGUACAAAUAAAUCCUUACGAAAAAUUCCUAUAGUAUUCAAUCCUAUGAAUCAAACAAACAACAUCGGAAAAAUUCCUAAGGAUUCUAAUCCUCCAAAAUUCCUAUGAAAAUCCCUUGAAUCAAAGGAGCCCUGAACUGACUGUGGCCCCUUGCUUUAUCCUUCACUCCUGCUUCUAUAAGGGGAGAGGAGGGGGGCAAGCGUGAUGUAAGGAGAUGCGGACGGGCUGAGAUGAGGUUGGGCCUGAAGGUGGGCUGUGUGGGUUGCACCAUGCUCAGUAUCCCUCGUCGAGGUGGAGGGACUAUGGGCUCUGGGCGAAAUCUUUGGCCGGCGGGGGGGCGGUACCGGCGGCGGAGGCAUCCUAGGCAUCUUUAUCCUCCUUGGAGGCGUUGCCGAAGAGUUCAUCCAGACACCAGAUCAUUGUGGCUGGUACUAGGUUCCGGUGGCUAUUGGCGUGGCUGGAUCCCCUCCCACGGGGUUCAGUGGGGUGGUGGUGUGCAGAGCUCUUGGCAAAAGCUUUGUCCCGACGGAGGCGUUAUCGAAGUGCUUCUUCACUCCUACCUCGGGUCGCUUUGGCCCUCGAUCGAUUGGUUUGUGUUUGGUGGUGGUGCCUAGUUUUGCUUGGGGCUGUUUGUACUCUUUGUUGGGGUUUUUGCUCGGUUGUCCCCUAAUCAACCAUGUUGUGUGGUUUCUGGCCUAGUUUUCCCUAUAAACCGGGCCAACUCUCUUCUUAAUGAAAUAGCAGGAGCACCCUGCCCUCUGACGAGGUUCCGUAAAAAAAAGUAUCCAACCACAUGAAAUAGACUACAUCACCCUUUAUGGCGUGGUAAAUGACUCGUUGUAAUCCCCACCAUUUAUCCACAUGAAUAGUUUUCUAAAGGGGUUGUACCAAAGGAAUCCUUUUUGGGGGAUAUUUUGGUCUUCGGGAAGUGUUUUUAGUGCUUUCCGCAAAUGUAAAUUCCGCAACAAGACCUGUGUUGCGGAAAUAAUUCCGCAACAAGACCUGUGUUGCAGUAUGGAGGCGCGUUCGGCCGUGUGAUGCGGUAAUCCGACGGCUCGUGACCCGGCUGAUCUUGACGCGUAGCACACCCCUUAUUCUAACUUACCUUUUCCUUUUCUGAAGUGUUAUGCUUUGUGUGAAAGUUGCUAUUCAUUUUGGUCUGUGGCAGGUUGAUGGUAUGGGUGUAUCAUGUUUUGGUUCACAUGACACAAGCCCACGAAGAGGCACCAUGUGGAAAAUGUGUGUCAUACAUUUUUUUCAGGAGAUCCUCUAUCCCCUGUGGGGUACUGGUGGUGUUGCUUUCCUCAACCCUGAUAUAAACUACAGUGACAAGUCAAUGUCUGCAUGUACAAAAUAAUGUAUGUUAUAUCAUAACCACAUCUACGUUUUAUUGAUCCUUGAAUUAGGUCUGGGUGGAACAUAAUCUCUCGUCAGUGCUCUGAUUUCAUCAUGAAUUUCUCUUUUUUACAGGCUUGAGCAGUUCAAUUACACGUUGUUUCAAGAGAACUGUUUAGUGAAGGAUAUCGGCGAAGAUGGAAAAAUCAAGUCUCCUGGCUCUCCUUUGAUUCGCUUGUCUGAAAGACUCUGCCUCUUCACAAAAAACUCUUCAUCUUGAACCUAUUAAGGUUGGAUUUGCUGGUUUCCACAUCAAGCGCACGCUUAUCCUCCACAUAGAAUUUUCUAUAUGCCUAUAAAUAAAUGAGAGUAGUUAAUAUCACGUCGUUGGAAAAAAAUGCUCUUAAGUGCGACUGUCCUUCUGGCAGCACUUUGAUAAAGGACACUACCAACCUCUUGUGUGGCCAUCACUGGUAGAAUCUAUCAUUCUUACAGAUUAACGUUAAUGCCUGCUGUAAUAGUUGAUCCUUUGGUAAGGAAAUGCCAUGUCCUGCCUCUUUUGUCUGUCGGGUUGGUCUGAAGUUAGAAGUUACCUGGGACUGAUGCUUAGUCCAGAUCGCAGUUUGGAAUGUUACCAUGGAUUUGAAGCUCUUUUGACAUCAUCACAACAGUCGAAAAAGGUCUUGUUUCAGUACAUUACAAACUGAAAAGGAUAAACUAUUUUUCUUCUCAUAAUGCCGCUUCAUCCAUAGCAAUAUAGUUGACACUAGUUGAUUUUCUAAAUAAAUCUGAUGCUAGUUAUAUUUUCAUAUCAAUGGAUCAUUUCUGCAAGUUAUUAUUUUUUAUUUUUCAUGUUUGUUAUGCAAAUUUCCUACAGGAUAUCUGGUACUCCACGUGUAAAACCAACAUACUCUAUCUUGAGAGGAGGAUGACGUCCAAUUUUAACUAUGACGUAAGCUCCAGUCUUCACUUGGUAAAGAAAUUUCUUGUAGAUACUAUCCAAUGCACUACUUGAAGGGAAGCGGUAAGAACACAGAUGAAGAUAUGUUUUUUCGUGGAUGGUGUGAAAUUGUUUGUUUCCCUGCAGAUAGAUGCCCCUCAACAGCUGUUGCACAGGGGGAUCCCCCUCACCUAUGCUGUUCAACAUUGCUGUAGAUGUUUCGCAGGAAUUAAUUCAUAGGGCUAAGAGAGCUGGGUUGAUUUGAGGGGUAGUUCCUUGUCUAGUAGAGGGAGGCAUUAAUAUGUUACAAUAUGUUGAUGGCACAGUACUUUUAUUAAGAGCUGACAAGAAGAGGCCAAAGUGUUAAAGAACAUUUGAUGCUUAGUUAAGCAUCUUUCUGGUCUAAAGAUUAAUUUUAAUAAGAGCGAGCUUUAUUGUUUAUGAGAGGCUAGUGAUCACAUUAAAAUAUGUAGAGAAUUUUUUACUUGUGUAGCUGGUAGCUUCCUUGGGCAUCCCUGUGCAUAGUGUUAAGCUUAUGAAUAGUGAUUGGGAAGGAGUGGAGGACAAGAUGGAAGGGAAACUAGGAGCCUGGCAAGGAAGAAUGAUCUCUUAUGGUCCUAGAUUAAUUUUGCUGAAAUCCUGUUUGAGUAGUAUACCUUACUUUAUGAUGUCUAUGUUUACUAUUCCUAAAGAUCCUCUGCAUAGAGUAGAAUAUUUUAUGAAAAGACUUCUAUGGCAGGAUAGUGGUGAAUCUGACAAGUAGUACAAUUUAGUGAAGUGGGAAAAGGUUUGCCAACCUAUUCAUUGGGGUAGAGGGUCUGGGAGUAGUUGAUUUAGCUGUAAUGAAUAUGUGUCUUUUGAGUAAAUGGUUAUGGAAAAUAGAAAAUGAGGAAGGUAUGUGGCAAGAUAUUAUUAGAAGUAAAUAUUGUAAUAAAGAGUCCUAGUCAGCAUUAAGAGAAAACCUACUCAGUCUCAUUUUAUGAGUGGCAUCUUAGACUAGAAAAGAGUAUUACAAAUUUUGUAGGAAGCGAGUGGGGGAUGGCAAAACUACUAGACUUUUGGGAAGACUCUUGAUUAGGUAAUGUUCCACUGUGUAGUAAGUUCCAUAGAUUGUAUAAUGCUAACACCAGUUUUAAUAUUACUGUAGCAGAGGUGAUUGGGGGUUGGAUAAUGUCAAAUUUAGGAGGAGGUUGGGUGAUUUGGCUGAGCAGCAUUUGCAAUAUCUCUGUGAGGACGUGGUUCAAAGUGAGGAGAGAGAUAAGUGCGUGUGGACUUUAACUACAUGUGGUGAAUUUACCAUUAGAUCAAUGUACCUGAUGAUCAAAGCUUUGCAAGUUAGAUGUCGUUUUAGAAAAUUAUGGUUUAUUAAAGUACCUCUUAAGAUUACAGUUAUCUUGUGGUUGAUGUUUAAGAAUAGUAUAUUAUUGACUAAAGAUAACUUGAGAAAAAAGAGGUUUGGUGGGAGAUGAGAGGUGUCGAUUUUGUGAGGCUAAAGAAUCUGUGGAUCACCUCUUUAUUCACUGUUCUUUGGCAAAAUAUGUAUGGGGAGCAGUUAGUUGUGCUUUGGGGGUAUCCAUGAAUUUAGACACUGCACAAGAUAUUUCUCUGUGGAUCAUGAGAUUUCCUGGUAAGACGAGAGGACUAAUGGCUGCAGGGGUAGCAGCGGUGAUUAGGGGCUUAGGGCAAUUUGGAAGGUAGGAAUAAUGCAUAUAUGCUUUAGAGGUAUUUAUCCGCAUGAUCCGAGCAGCGUUAUUACUCAAGUUUCUCACUGGUUGGAACACUGGGCUGGUUUGCAGAAGCGAGGGGGUCCGAGAAUUACAAGCCAGAGGAGCAAGACUAUUGUUGCAGGUUGCAGCUGAGAUGUACAGCCAAAAGAGAGGGUGGGCGCCAGUGGUGCUGCGAAUAGCUGGAUGAAGGAGUUAUCUGGGAGCUUUUGAUUACUCGGCUGGGUUGUGUGUUUGGUUCUGCUUUUGGCUGUUGUUGCGCAAUCCUGCAAUGCAGCGGUUAGAGCCUAGAAGAAGUGAGCGGUGGUGUGCGGUUUGUUCUACUGGAGCCUUUGAUAGUGCAGGUAUAGUGGUUUUUAGAUUGGGUUUUAUAGUACUGAGUAUAUGUUAUUUUGUUAGAUGGUGCUGUUAUGUAUGAUGGAAUCUGAUCGUUGGUCGAUCCAAGUUACCCUGCUGUAUUGUCAUUGCUGCUUCCCUUCCACGAGUCCCUUGAUCGAUCUGUACUAGGACGCUUCCUAGUUUGAUUCGGAAUUAGGAGAGUAGAGGCCUCGUUGGAUCUGACCGACUAUUUUCGUUUGGAGUUUGCGCUGGUUUGAUCACUGAGAAAGUUCCAUGUAUAUAUUGAGCAGGUUUGAACAUGUCAAUCUCUCAAGUCUCACACAGCACGGACCCAACCCAAAGUGUUGGUCCGUCUUGGACAUUUCAGUGUCGUUCCUCCGUCAUCUUACAGUGCUGUGCACCUAGGGCUCGCGCUGUUGAAGGUACUGUGUCACCCAUGCGGAAGUUUUGAAUGUGUAUGUGUAUGAACAUGAUGUAUGCAAUGAUACGACAGGGGGCUCUCUGCUGGCUGUCCUAUCCCAAGAUUUAUCAUGUCAUGUAUCAUCGGCACGGAACAAUUUUAAGCGACGCACAUCAGGACACUCUCAUCCUAUGCUACUUGUAGACACAUUUUACUGUCAAAGGCGUGCACCGGAGAGGCCACAUGUGCGCAUUGGAGUGACGACAUGGUCACUUAGAUCCACGUAGUCUGCUUGAUCGGUCUAGGCCACAUGCGCGCAUUGGAGAUAAAAUUGAUUAAAACAAAUCGAUAUAGAUGGAAACUAGAUGUUUGGUUAAUGUCNNNNNNNNNNNNNNNNNNNNNNNNNNNNNNNNNNNNNNNNNNNNNNNNNNNNNNNNNNNNNNNNNNNNNNNNNNNNNNNNNNNNNNNNNNNNNNNNNNNNNNNNNNNNNNNNNNNNNNNNNNNNNNNNNNNNNNNNNNNNNNNNNNNNNNNNNNNNNNNNNNNNNNNNNNNNNNNNNNNNNNNNNNNNNNNNNNNNNNNNNNNNNNNNNNNNNNNNNNNNNNNNNNNNNNNNNNNNNNNNNNNNNNNNNNNNNNNNNNNNNNNNNNNNNNNNNNNNNNNNNNNNNNNNNNNNNNNNNNNNNNNNNNNNNNNNNNNNNNNNNNNNNNNNNNNNNNNNNNNNNNNNNNNNNNNNNNNNNNNNNNNNNNCAAAAAGGAAAGAAAAAAAUGAGAGAACCCACUAGAAGGAGGAAAGAAGAAAAAUACUAGUCGUGAAAAUUAAAAGGGGAAGGAAAAAAAUCAGAGAACCCGCUAGGAGGAAAGAAGAAAAAUACUAGUCGCGAAAAUUAAAAGGGGAAGGAAAAAAAAAUCAAAGAACCCGCUAGAAGAAGGAAAGAAGAAAAAAUAAACACAAAAAGGAAAGGAAAAAAAAUAAAAAAUCCGCUAGAAGGAGGGCUCGAACCUCCGACCUUGUGGUUAACAGCCACACGCUCUAGCCAACUGAGCUAUUCCAGCUUGGUGGCAAAGAACAGAACUCUCUCUAGAUAAUCAAUACGUUCCUAAUAGACACAAGGAGCCAGCACCGAAUCACCAUGAGUUAGUGGCCUAGGAAGCAAGCGACGAUAUUUCUCUCUCUUUAAACUAGACGAAUCGUGCAUCAGUAAGAAUAGGAAACCACCUUGACCUGAUCGCGCUUCCAUGUCCAACUCACCGAACAGUUUCGUGUCCAUCACAUGCCAAGGGUAAAGAGCUUGCCCAUAUGUUGCAAAAUUCCUAGUGAUUUACUACAGGACAUGGUAUAUUCUCCUAGGAUUGGUUGGUGUGUCCGUUGAGCUCAGCAUUGGUUUCAACCUGCCGAGACCCUGAGACAGGCCCCCAAUAAAAACAGGUGAUGGGACUACUUGUCCUGGGAUGUGUUACCGGGAGGAGGAGCAGUUGAACUGAUGCAAUCAACACCAGUAGGAUGUCACUCUGGAUUGUAACACUUGACACGUACUAUAAGAUUUGGUGCACCUACAACACAACCUUGAUCUAGCCAACAAUGUAACCACUUCAGCUCACCAAUUCUCAGCUCUGCAUCUACACAACCUUGAGUCUUUAUAGAGAUUUCACUAUGAACUACAUAGUGAGCAAAAUGAGUGAAUCUACACUUUAAAAGGUUUAGGGUUUAGUGGAAUCUCUCCAAAGACUUAUAUUUGGUAACGGGGAGAGGGAGUACAUUCAUACAUCAUCCAAAUGAAGAUUACCUAAGCCACUGAACGUGAAAGAAAGAUGAACGGAGCGUGUAUUUUGGGCACAGCGUCAUCAGGAGGCCAAACCGGCAAACAAAGCAAGCAACGAGUAAAAUUGCAAGGUUUCAACUUCCAACACUGGCAGCGGUACAGAAACAGCAGCAUAAGUCAAAUGCAAGGUUCCAACUUUCCAAACCAAGGUAAGGUACAGAGACAACAGAUACACUCCCAGCAUCAACCGCCCUCACUUUGGGGCAUUCAUGAUGCAUCACAACAGUAUCCCCCGUCUUUCGGGGUUUCCCCGCUGGCGGCGGGCAUACUGCACUACAAAUACAUAAAUAUGAAAAACAUACACAUCACCGAGAUUACGGACAGACGGCACCGACACAGACAGGCUCACAUCUUUAGAGGCCUACUUCUUCCAAGCACCAGGUCCUUUCUGGGGGAAAUGCACCACCAACCAACAGCUUGCGCUUUCAUGGACGACGGACGGAACAGAUCAUUGUGAAAACAUCUUCCACAACUUACAGGGAUGAUAUUUACUAAAAAGAACCACAGAGCAACCACAACCAUGUUCCAAAGCAGAUCAGGCGUCUUCCGUCUUGCACAGGUCCAGCAGUGACA